rnacentral:rRNA from 1 species
UACGUAGGGGCUAGCGUUAUCCGGAAUUACUGGGCGUAAAGGGUGCGUAGGUGGUUUCUUAAGUCAGAGGUGAAAGGCUACGGCUCAACCGUAGUAAGCUUUUGGAACUGUAAGACUUGAGUGCAGGAGAGGAGAGUGGAAUUCCUAGUGUAGCGGUGAAAUGCGUAGAUAUUAGGAGGAACACCAGUUGCGAAGGCGGCUCUCUGGACUGUAACUGACACUGAGGCACGAAAGCGUGGGGAGCAAACAGGAUUAGAUACCCUGGUAGUCCCUGA